rnacentral:rRNA from 1 species
UACAGAGGGUGCGAGCGUUGUCCGGAAUCACUGGGCGUAAAGGGCGCGUAGGCGGCUUGAUAAGCGUGCGGUGAAAGCCCGGGGCUCAACCCCGGGUCGGCCGUGCGAACUGUCGAGCUGGAGCACUGUAGAGGCGGGUGGAAUUCCGGGUGUAGCGGUGGAAUGCGUAGAGAUCCGGAAGAACACCAGUGGCGAAGGCGGCCCGCUGGGCAGUGGCUGACGCUGAGGCGCGACAGCGUGGGGAGCAAACAGG